GAGAAAGUCGAAGCCUAUCAGUGGAGUGUUAGUGAAGGGAGGUGGAUAAAAAUUGGUGAUGUUGUUGGCUCAUCUGGUGCUAAUCAGCAAACAUCUGGAAAAGUUUUAUAUGAAGGGAAAGAAUUUGAUUAUGUUUUCUCAAUUGAUGUCAAUGAAGGUGGACCAUCAUAUAAAUUGCCAUAUAAUACCAGUGAUGACCCUUGGUUAACUGCAUACAACUUCUUACAGAAGAAUGAUUUGAAUCCUAUGUUUCUGGAUCAAGUAGCUAAAUUUAUUAUUGAUAACACAAAAGGUCAAAUGUUGGGACUUGGGAAUCCCAGCUUUUCAGAUCCAUUUACAGGUAAGUUAGUGUUUAUAUUGAGUCUUAUGUAGUUCCAUUAGUGUUGAUUGAUUUUUUUGAUGUUUUCAAACAGUCAUACGAUUAGCUUUUUCAAUAAAUACCAAUAUCUACAGCAGG
rnacentral:sRNA from 1 species